rnacentral:rRNA from 1 species
AGUGAACGCUGGCGGUAGGCCUAACACAUGCAAGUCGAACGGCAGCACAGUAAGAGCUUGCUCUUACGGGUGGCGAGUGGCGGACGGGUGAGGAAUACAUCGGAAUCUACUUUUUCGUGGGGGAUAACGUAGGGAAACUUACGCUAAUACCGCAUACGACCUACGGGUGAAAGCAGGGGAUCUUCGGACCUUGCGCGAUUGAAUGAGCCGAUGUCGGAUUAGCUAGUUGGCGGGGUAAAGGCCCACCAAGGCGACGAUCCGUAGCUGGUCUGAGAGGAUGAUCAGCCACACUGGAACUGAGACACGGUCCAGACUCCUACGGGAGGCAGCAGUGGGGAAUAUUGGACAAUGGGCGCAAGCCUGAUCCAGCCGUACCGCGUGGGUGAAGAAGGCCUUCGGGUUGUAAAGCCCUUUUGUUGGGAAAGAAAAGCAGCAGGUUAAUACCCCGCUGUUCUGACGGUACCCAAAGAACAAGCACCGGCUAACUUCGUG